UUUCUAGAAACGUACUGCGGGGGUUGAGGGGAAGGUGUUUCCUCCCACGGUGAAACUAUGAGGAAGCGUGGAAGCUCUGGCUUUCGGAAUGCUGAGGAAUGUACCUGCCGGGACGGACGCUGCAGCCACUAUGACCUUAGACAAGCGCCUCUUGUCACUGCAUGAGGCGUAUGCCAUAGUUUCUGUUCAAAGAAAGUAGUAGUGAUGCCGGAAGGACCGAAGUGUUCUUAGAUGAGAGGAUGCUCCCGACCGGACAGACGUGGAUUUAUUCGUCAGCACCUUGUCUUGUUAAGUGAGACAAAAACUCUUUAACCAUUGGAUUGCUACUGAUAGCUUGUACACUAAAUUAAGAAUGGUGCUGAAGACAAGACAGCCCAGUGACAACUCAAUCGCAGGUGAGUGUAUAUUGAACUCUUGUGAAUUGUGGAAGGAGGGUGUGCAGAGGUUUUCUGUAGACUCCAACUAAAUACUAGAAUGUGAGUGGUUAUUGAAAGGUUUUGUUCAAGCUUUCAAGUGAGUCGGUUUAAUUAGCUUCCUGAUGUUAAACCAGAGUGAAAUCCACAGCUAAAGCCACCCUCGGUAUUUGCCUUCACCUAUUCUUGGUGGUUUCCUUUGGACUUUGGUUUUUUGAGACAGGAUUUCGGUAGUCCAAGCUGGUCUGGACCUUGCCGUGACCUUGAAGUAGCCAAGGAUGACCUUCACCUGAUCUCAAGGUGCCACUGUGCCUGGUUUUUAUUUCUGGACUUUUAAACACUCAAUGUUUUAAGUCAGAAUCUGAAUAUUUUCGUGAUUUCGACCUCCCACUCUGAUUUAAAAGUCUCUUAAAAAGGUCCUAUGAGUGAGAGUUUAGGAGUGAAGGUUUUUUUGUUUUCUGUUGUAGUCAUUUUGUUUUUUUAAGAAAAGUACACUUCUGAUCGUCCCUGGUGGUAAUCAUUCACACAUAAUUUUACUAUCCAGUAUUAAAUAUAAAUAAUUUACACCAGUGUGCCUUUGAAAAUCAGUGAAAAAUAAAAUAAAAAUCUCUAGCAGUCUUUCCUACAAAAUUAUGUUUAUUCUGUACACAUAGGACUUGGAAUGUCUUUUAAAAUGAUUUUAUUUUUAAGGAUACAGUUGUGUUCAUUUUGUUACUAGUUUUUUACUAAGGAAAAACGUAGGAUCCUCAGAAGUAGUUUGCCUAUAAAACACAUUCCGUGGAUACCUGGGAUAGAUGAAUCAUGAUUUACAUUUUUGGUUGUGCUGUGAUUGAAUGCAGGCCCUUGGGCAGCAUGGCAGCCAGGUGACCUCCAGUGAACUGUUCAGGCGACAUGAUAUCCUUAAUUUGUCAUAGUUUUCCUGAUUUUUUUUUUGUAAUAGCUGUAAUAGCCACGAUAAGCCUUGAGUUUCAGAAAAUGUUAUACUUGAAAACUAAUAUCAAUGGCUAAAAUUUCGAGGCUUUUUAGUUUUCUUUAACAGCUCUGGCUCUUCUUUGGUAUAGAUUUUCAGAAAUGAGACUACAAAAGUUUUCUGCAACUUUUUGUUUAUUCAACUACAGUUACUUUUCCCUCUCCCCGCUUAGACCAUGUUUCUCUUUGUUGCCUGUGCUAUCCCAGAACUCCUAGACCCAGAGUUCUUUCCUGAAAGCCUCAGCUUCCCGGCUAGCUAGGUCUGCAAGUGUUCUCCCUACCGCACCUGACAGAAGUGGCAUCAUCUUCAAGCUACACAGACAAAUAACACUGGCUUUUGUGGGGAUAACCGAGGUGCUCUGGCUCUGGAAGACCUAGGAUCUGCUACUUGUUUUAAAAGCCUGGUUCUGGUUUGUAAUUUUACUUCAUCCUUAAGUGAACGAUGGCCGUGUUAUAUGUGUAUGCAUGUGUGUACUUGUGUAACCCUUUGGAAAACAGUUUAUUUGUAGAAGCAUUGGGAUAUGUUGAGAAAUAGAAUGGAUUCAGCUGGGUUGACUAUAGUUGCUCCCCCAAAAGAUUGAGUUUGGGGGGGAUUACAUAAUUCUAAUCAGACUUUUUAUUUUGGGCACCAGGGAUGUUGAUCUUGCUUGUAAGUGUGUUACCUGCCAUACACAGGGCUCUAAGCUCAAAAGCCAGAACGGGUGCUGUUGUUAUUAUUUUUAAGGCAUACUUUCAUACAUGGAUGAUCUUCUGCCGUGUUGAACUUCGUUGUUGGUUUUAUGACCACAUGAACGGUGGUUUUCAUUCACAAGUAAUUAAACUAGAAUGACAGCACAUUUCAGCAUAGGGAUUACAGCAGACCUGGAUUACUUAAUGACAUUCCUCCAAAGACCUUUGCCUAGGGAGUGUAGUGUGAAUAAAAUAAAUAACAUGAUUAAACAUGCAAAGUUAAUCUAAAUACUUCAAAAGACUUAAACAAUUUGGGCUUUUUGUUUUGUUCUUGUUUUUUGAGACAUUGUUUGUCUGUUUAGCGCUGACUGUCCCGGAACUCCCUCUGUAGACCAGGUUAGCCUCAAACUAGGAGAUCUUCCUGCUGCUGCCUCCCGAGUGCUGGGAUGAAUGGCGGUGCGGUAUCGUGCCCAGCUGGUUAUUUUUGAAGAUUUAAAUAGUGGUUCCUGGUGAAAGGUCAGUGAAGGUUCCGUAUUGUAGAACCAUUCCUUCUGCAAGCAGAACCCAGGGCUAGUAAAUGGAAAGUUGUGAGCAAGAGUUCUUGAGAAAAGCUGUUUCAGAUAGUAAAACAAUUGGGAAAGGAUGCCUGGCAAAAGACGAGGGCAGAAGAGUUAGGUCUGUGUUGGCAGAGGUUCUAGAACCAGCUGCACGCCAGAACCCUGUGGAGCAUUUGCCCUCUCAGGUUUCAGAGGACUUGGAGACUGGGGAAUGAACAUCAAUUAAAGAUGAUUUUUAGUUUUUGUUGUUGCCUCUUGAGAUAGGGUCAAAUCUUGGAUGGCCUGAAACUCACUAUUGUAGACUAAGCUGGCCACAAAUUCACAGAAAUCCUCCUGCCUCUGCCUCCUAAAUGCUGGGAUUAAAGGCAUUGGCCAUCACACUCACCUUAAGAUUCGUUUUUUUCAAGACAGGGUUUCUCUGUGUAGCCUUAGCUUUCCUGGAACUCACUCUGUAGACCAGGCUAGCCUUGAACUCAAGAGAUUGCCUACCUCUGCCUCCCAAGUGCCAGGAUCAAAGGCAUGUGUGACCACUGCCCAACAAGAUAUUUUUAUUUGGUUUGUUUCUUAGUUUUCUAAGCCAUACACUUCCUUUUUUUGAACCUUAACUAGUCUGCUUUUGUCUGUUUGGUUUUUUGUUUGUUUUUGAGACAGGCUCCCAUCUUAAAGCCGGGAAUGGCAUGUUGCCUUAGUCUCCCUAGGGCCCAAUGCUGGAGUUACAAGUGUGCACCAUUGUGCCUGGUGUCUUUAUUACUUUCUUUUUAAUGUUUGUACUCAUCUACUCCCACUGAUCUCCACUGGCACUUGGAUGUGUUCUAUUGUCUGUCCCCAUGUCCAGGGUUUUUCCUCUCCCGUCCAGUAAGUCUCUUGGCUUUGCUUACAAGUGUAUGGGCACCCUAUCAGUGACUACACACUCCUGAAGAAAACAUUUCUCCCUCUAUCAAGCAAGCUGUGUAACUACUCAGGGAGGAGUGAGGCCCCACGAGACCCUCUCCCUUCCUAACAAGAUGUUAGCAGGCCCAAUCCUGUUCAGAUCUUGAGUGGAGGUAAUCAUGAGUACCAUGAGUUCAAGGGUGCAAUAGUCAGGUCAGGGUUGUGUACCUCUUGGCUUCCUCUGGCUCUUACAUUCUUUCUGCCUCUUCUGUGAUGUCCCCUGAGCCUUGAAGUGGGUUAUAUAAAUGUCCUAUUUAGAGCUGAGCACUCAGCAGUCACAUACUCUCAGCACUUGGUAGCAGACCUUCCCGUAGACCUUGGAGGAACAAGGAGACCACCAUGAGCUCCAGGCUCUGCCAGAAUGCUUAUGUGUGACCUUGUACAUUACCCACGCAGCCCUUGCUUCCACUGCAUUCUAGCACUUCCAGAAUCCCCCCCCUGUGGUUAAAAUAGCCAAGGAAAUUCUAUGUUGCCAUGUAUGGGAGGCAGAGAAACAAAAAUCAUGUCAAAGGCUGUAAACAGUUCAGUCUAGUCUGUGCUACCAUAAAUAAACUGUUUUCCUCCAGAA